GACGAACGCUGGCGGCGUGCCUAAUACAUGCAAGUAGAACGCACAGUUUAUACCGUAGCUUGCUACACCAUAGACUGUGAGUUGCGAACGGGUGAGUAACGCGUAGGUAACCUGCCUGGUAGCGGGGGAUACCUAUUGGAAACGAUAGCUAAUACCGCAUAAUAUUAAUUAUUGCAUGAUAAUUAAUUGAAAGGUGCAAUUGCACCACUACCAGAUGGACCUGCGUUGUAUUAGCUAGUAGGUGAGGUAACGGCUCACCUAGGCGACGAUACAUAGCCGACCUGAGAGGGUGAUCGGCCACACUGGGACUGAGACACGGCCCAGACUCCUACGGGAGGCAGCAGUAGGGAAUCUUCGGCAAUGGACGAAAGUCUGACCGAGCAACGCCGCGUGAGUGAAGAAGGUUUUCGGAUCGUAAAGCUCUGUUGUAAGAGAAGAACGGGUGCGAGAGUGGAAAGUUCACACUGUGACGGUAUCUUACCAGAAAGGGACGGCUAACUACGUG
rnacentral:rRNA from 1 species